GCAUGGCACAUCGUGAAUCAUCCGAGAUCUCAUCAUUAAGGAACUCUACAGCCGACGGGAGAGGAAACCACAGUUAUCUGCACACUAUUCCUCCACGACGACCUUUGCGACACCAGUUUUUGCUGUUAAUCUGCGAAAUUGCGGAUUAGCGUUGAGGGCUCUAAAAUUUGUCUAUUUGAUAAGAAACUUGCGUUGACCCACCUGGAAGAGUCCAUAGCUUACGCUCUGGUUGGGCAGCUGCAUGGAUUUGGAUGUACUGCGUCCACUCUCCGCUUCCACCAGGCAAACCCCUUUGGGGAAUUGGAAAAAUAUCCAUUGAAUGGAUCCAUUUGAGAUACAUUUACUUACAGUUCGAAAGAUAGCUGCGGGGAAAGUCAUGACGCAACAACUCCUUGGCCAAUUGGCAACGUGUCAGCAGCUUGGACUCGGUCUCCCACUGCGAAAGCAGGAGAAGAUUGAGCACCAGGACGAGCGCACCACCUUUGGGCAAGUGACUGGCCAUGUUGGUUUGGGAGGGAUUUGGACUAAUAGAGACCACUGCUAAUCCUUUUGAGAGAUUUUAGAAGCGCUUCCCUCCGCGGCAACUGCGAGCACUGGGCACUUUGCUGCGGAAUUAUUUCUACGGCACUGGAUGCGUAGCGCCCGAAAUCUGGGUUUUUAAAGCCUCGCACGCAGCUUUUGUUUUCUUCUGAGACAUUCGGGAGUGGUCUGGUGACAUGGAAACACUGUGCGGGCUACUCAUCAAUAGGGUUACUCGCCACAUUCAAUAUAAACAAUGUUUGUACAAAUUUUAACUUGGCUGUCUCAAAAGUAUCUAAAUAAUUGUGCGCUUAAGAUAUAUUAGUUUAUAUUUUAUAAGCAUUAGUAAAAAGCGGCCUAGUUUAGCUCUCAGUGCAUUCAAUAAAUCGCUUUGAUUGCGUUAAGCUGUAAA